UCAACUUGAGAGUUUGAUCCUGGCUCAGAACGAACGCUGGCGGCAGGCUUAACACAUGCAAGUCGAGCGCCCCGCAAGGGGAGCGGCAGACGGGUGAGUAACGCGUGGGAACAUACCCUUUGGUUCGGAAUAACUCAGGGAAACUUGAGCUAAUACCGGAUACGUCCGUAAGGAGAAAGAUUUAUCGCCAAAGGAUUGGCCCGCGUCCGAUUAGCUAGUUGGUGAGGUAACGGCUCACCAAGGCUACGAUCGGUAGCUGGUCUGAGAGGAUGAUCAGCCACAUUGGGACUGAGACACGGCCCAAACUCCUACGGGAGGCAGCAGUGGGGAAUAUUGGACAAUGGGGGCAACCCUGAUCCAGCAAUGCCGCGUGUGUGAAGAAGGC
rnacentral:rRNA from 1 species